AGACUCUUGAGUUUGUGGUGAUGGCAGCUGACACGGAGCUGAUCGAAAUCUUCCCCCACCCCCUGUUGCUCCCUGAUGAUAACAAGAUUUGGAAGAUGGGAAUCUGGGGAAUGCGAAGUUGAAGAGACCUGGAGUAUCUAGACUGUGAUUGCCAUUGUAUAUGUGUUAUAUGAUGAUGUAACACAAUGAUUCUGCUAUUGUAUCUUUGUUGUAUGAUGUAUCAAACUGAUUCUGGCUGUUAUGUGAAGUACUACGUGUGUUCUCUAUCUGUUCCCAUUUGAA